rfam:Pedobacter ginsenosidimutans strain KACC 14530 contig05, whole genome shotgun sequence.
AAAUAAACCCGAUGGAAGCGGUAUACUUUUUGGCGAUCACCCUGAGCGGAGUCUAAGGGCAGCCAAAAAGAUACAGCGGACAGCGGGGCUACCA